GACAGUGAACUGCCUCUCUCCGAUUAGUUUUGCCCGAGCUUUAUUUUUGUCUGACUCAGCUAGAAAGUGGGAGACUUUCAUUUAAAAUGGAAAUUGGGGCGAGGGGUCGGCGGCUGGGCGAAGGGAGCAUUCAAAAGCGCAGAAUGUCACUUUACCCGAGAAAUUCACUACGAUGGGCCAUUGGUUUCUGCUCGGCUCGCAGGCGCACUGCACGAGUGGAGGCGUGGCUAGUGGCUGUGACGAGACAAAUCCAUGCAUAUCCUGUUCAUUGCGAGCUUGAAAGUUCUUUUCUAUUACAGUUUUAGCUUUGGGUUUAAUUGGUUCGACUCCCUUCUCCACAAUUUGGGCGAGAAUUUCUUUUGCCUUCUCAGCAAAAAUUGUUCUGCGGACCCGUCUGGUUCAACUUGCAUGAGGGACGUUGAGACAAACAAAUGAAAUAUGGGUCAAAAUGCUCUGAGUAGCUACAAAAAGAAGACCAGCCUAUCCUGCUGGAGAGAGUGGCCAGGUGAAGAAAGAGCCCUUGGAGUGUGAAAGACCACAGGGAAAGAGAGGCCACGUGGAACCAACAGUCAGCACCUUGGUUUUGGACAUGUGAAGAAAUUCAUCUCAGACUGUGUAUCCUAAAUCAGUCACUUGCCAAAUGCAACUACAUGAGCGAGACCAGUUGACAACACAUGGAGCAGAGGUAAGCUGUUCUCAGCCCUAUACUCACAAAAUUAUGAGCAAUAAAACAGUUGUUAUUUUAAG